CACCUGAGACCCAAGAUACAGAAAGAGACAAGAGCAAAAAGGAAAGCAAAGUCUGGUUACCAGUGCCAUUUCCAGUGGAGAGGUGAAUUUCAAGAAGCUGCAAGAUUAAAAGAAGAUCAGAUCAUGAGAGAACUGAUACUAAGGAAACUUGACUAAUCAUUUGUGACCACAGAGGAAUUCUACUGGGAAUGGAAGAGAGGGCAAGCAAAACCGGAAGAAAAGGAAUCUGACUGACGAGGGUGGAAAAUGAAGGAAAACAAUUCAAGAUUUGCCAACCCACAACUUUUGACUGCUCUGUUUUGUGUAGUUGUUUCAGGCUCUGAUUAAGACUUUUGCCCCUUCAGUGAGGCACUGAUGUUAAGAUGUAAACCCUCCAAGAAUAAAAUCUCAUUUGUCUUUCUCACUUCACCAGUCUCAUAACAGGCAAAAGAUAAUGAAAUAGCUAUCCUGCAGUAUGAAAGCAUUGAGUUAUCUCAUCCAAUUGUGAGUGCGUGGUUGAUUCACCUUCCUGUCUUUGACUUGCUUUAACACUUGGAUUUAAAAAGUACUUCUGUCCUUAGAGGUAAGAGUUGUGUAUAAAAACCAGCAUGGAGACUUCUCGCUGAAUUUGAUUAUUUUUGGGAACAAAUCACCUGGUCUCUUAUUCACAUUUUCAAGAGAAGACUGAAUGACUUUAAAAAGUAGAGAUUUCAGAGAGACGGUGUGAAGCCAUGCAUGGAAAUAAAUAUGCAGCUCUGGCCUGGAUGGUCAUUAAUGACACACAGCCCGGUGAGGAUGUAUGGAAGCAUUCUUCAUUUUGGAAGAGUCAGAGGGAAAAAAGGCACAAGCAAUUAUGCCACACAGUGCCAUGAAAUAUAUUAGACCCUUUCUUAAUGCUGGAUAAUGAGACAGGUUUACAAAAACAUUGUCAGUGUCAUACCCCAAAGGAUUCUCCAAAACAAGAGCCCUGCCUUUCCAAGCGUGAAAUUUCCAGAGCAAUCUAGCAAGGAGUCUACAAGGAGUCUAUCAUAGAAAGCAACUAGAAGGACUGGCACCAUAGACAUUUGUCUUCAAAGGUUAUAAAGUGUUGUCAGUGGAGCAUUUUCCUGCUUGCUGUAUUAUGAACAGCAGAGCUGUUCUGUGGAUGAAUUGGUUGGACCUUAAUUUUUGUUUGUUGAGAGAGUAAGGAUCUUUUAUGUCCUGUGGAAAUUCCCUACCAGGUUCUCUGCAAUGAGACUGUGCUCCUGGGGCUUCCUUCUGUGAACCACUCUGAAAAUGUUGCACUGUUUCAGGACUCUUCAGAUCACCAACUCUAGCAAAAUUUCAGGAAGAUUUCAGGACUGAAGGGGCCAGGUCAGGAUUCCACCUGUGCAAAAGCAACACAAGCCUGUUAUAAAUGGCUCUAGGCCUAUGGUACUAUAUUUUGGGUGCUGUUGUAGUACUUGGGGUAUAUCUGAAAGUUCAGGGAUAACAUAAGGCCUCCAUCUUUCCUAAGUAUUGGACUGUGCCAUCUAAAUAAAAUUUUGAGAGUCACGAAGGAAGAGGGAAUAUUCGUGCUCCUUUUGAACCUAAUUUAGCUGUUAUUCUGAACCAUGUCCUAUAACAGUCCCCAUUCUCUGUCAAAUUUUAUAGAAAGCCUAAGAACAUGAGCUUCUACACUUGGGCUUCUCAUCAAGAUGUCUAAAGUAUGUGUAUAACUUUAUAGAAUCAACAACUGAGCUGUGAGGAAAUUUGGACCAUCUGAUAAUAUCCCAAAAUAAAGUUAUGCAAUUUCUGUAGUGGAUUCAGCAGACCUAAACAUGAAGUGCAAUCAUAGGCAAAGUCUUCCCAGAGACAAUCUGUAGGUUAGAUUUUGAUUUAAUUUAUCUUAAUUAAUUUUCAGAUCAAUUUAAGAAGGGUGGUUUUAAUGUCUCUGUACUCCCACACAUCCAUGCCUAUUUUCAGAACUGCCCAGGAUGCAUUUUCAUUGAUUACAGUGCCCAAACAGGAGCCUGCUUUGAUACUAAUGCAGAGCAGCUGUUUUUCAGGACCUUAACUACACCUUGCUACAACAGCAGCCUGAACUGCAGAUGCCCUGCGGCACAUGCAGGAAGGGAUGUUUUGAUUUCCUGAUUCUGGCCAGUGGAUGUUGUGAAACAGAAUAUGUGGAACAUACAAUGAGCAGCAUGCCCCUCAAACUGUGCUGCAGUAGGUGGGUUUCAGCAGCAGAUACUCAGACUUGUGUACAGGAUGCAUUUGGCCGUGAUUAUAUGGCCACAAUGUGGGUUCAGGGAAGGUGAGAAUGAAUCACUGCACACCCCAGUUGGUGUCCCAUAAUAUCAAUACUGUAACAUAAUAAUAUUUUUAUUCAGUAGGCAUUGUUUCUAAGGGCUUCUAAAUGCUUGCUGAACCUUCUUCCCCAUCUUUUAUUCCAGAAACCUUCAGCAUUCUCAGCCUCCAGUUUAACGGAACCUUACUAUUGCCACUGAAUUCAGAAGUCCCCUGAAUGGACUUGCUGGCUUAGUAUUGGUCAGUAUCAGCAGCUGAGUUAGGAGCCUUCAUUUGGUGGUUGAACUGCUUAGCACUGCCUCUUCUGGAAGUGUAUUUUUAGUUCUGGAUGUCUAGAAAGUCCUCAGCAUCACCUCAGAAAUGUGCCAAAUCAACUUUAAUUUCCAAAAAGUUCUAAUAUGAGAAGCAAUUAUGUCAAAUAAGAUUCUUGGCUGAAAGAUACUGAUGUUAUCAUUUAAAAAAAGAUCUGGCAAAGCCACAGUGGUAAAGAUAUGAAAAGUAAAUAAGCACAGGAGAUAAUACAAAGAUGCUGAGUUGGGCAGGAAAUUAUUUCUAAUAUGAAGUAAGUCUCUCUUUUAUAAUUGUCAUUCCACCAAAAUGGAUGCAUUUAAAUUGCUGUUUAGGUGCCCUUAUUCAUUGCUGUUUACAGAAUAUUAGUUUAAAUGCAGAGUUCAUUUAAUUCUGGCUAGGUCAGUAGUUGUGGUAAUGAACAAGGUGUAGCCUCAACCAUUUGCUUUAAGAUGAAUAAAUGCUCAUGUACAAAAUAAAAUUGCUUUACUUUUGUGAUUUCAUGAAGGCAUUAAAAAAAAAUCCUGACCCUGAGCAGGCUCAAGUGAAAAGUUAGAUUACAUGAAAGCUUAAUUUAAAGUCAUGACAGUUCCUUGUGCACUAUAAAAUCUGUGACAGCUAUGAAACAAGACCUUGUUUAAUACCCACACACUUCAAUUCUCAACAAUAAAAGUUUCAGAUGAAGCAAAUUAAUUAUUAUUUGAUUAACUGGUAAAAUGUGGUGUUAUAAAUAAUUCAGAUCAUUUCCUUUUCCCACUGGCAAAUUCUUGAUAGAGAAAAGUUACUUUAGUACUAAUUGUCUAUAAAUAGUUUUGAUUAGGGCCUCCAUAUUUUCAGUCAGUGGUUCUACUUUGAAUUGCUGCACAAUGAGUAAGUAUGAUCUUAAACUUGCAGUGAGAAUAGAUAUAUAUUAUAUCUGUUUAUAUGUCACAUAUAUAAACAAUUGUUUAAUUCACAAAAUAGAUGAUGAAGCUAGCUAGGGGGGUCAUAGUUCAGCUUUGUAAAGUGGUUAACUUGCUCUUCUUGCCUUCACAAACGGAGGAAUGACUGCUUGAUUUAUUUUUUUUUUAAAAAUAUCUUCAGCAUACUUAGUAAUAUAACCCAAAGUUAAAGAAUUCUUCUUUAAGUCUGCUAGCUUAUAAUAUUAUACAAUCCAAUUACAUCCAUUCUCAAAGGGCUCGGUUCAAAGCUUUGAAACUAAUGCCAAUCAGUUUCUUCAUUAUUUCUUAAUAAAUCACAGCGUGAUCAGUGAGUUCUGUGAGACACUUCUGUGUCUUCUGCAUCCUCUGCAGAGUGCAUUGGAAGCCAGGUCGAUGUCUAAUUUGGGGCACAGCGUGACAAGUUAAUGCAGACAAGAAAACCACAGAAAUGAAACUCAACUCUUGUAUGAAAAAGGUGGGAGUGGAUUUAGGAGUGUAGUUUUUUAAAAGAACUUCCAUUUAGGGGCAGUGGUGCCAGUGUGCUCACUGACUAACUUGAACAUUGGCAGAGAACCUGACAGGUCUGCCUGGUGAUGGGCAAUGAGAGAAAGGACUCCCAAGAUGGUUCUUCAGAUUUCUCACUGAGGAAGCAUCAUGUUUAUUUCUGAAAGAGUAUGCUAUAUUUACAAUUGCAAUAAAGUUCUUUUGGUUUUGUAAAAGAGAAGAAACACAUUCAUUUAGGGCUUUGUCCAGUAAGGCAGGAGAUCUCUUUUCUGAUUUUAGCAGUGACACAUACUUUAAAGGUGCACAAGUAAACCAGCAAAUUAUUUAUUACCUGUGCCAAUCUCUCAGCUAUAAAAUCAGUUUAGUAGUGCAGGCAGAGCAGCAAAAUGCCACAUUAUCGGUAUCUAUUUUAUGGUGAUGGUGAAAAGAAACAGGAAGCAAAAUGAACUGUGAUAAGCAAGUGAAGACUGAAGGAACAUCGCUGGGGACACUACAGUGAAAAAGGACAAGCAGUUGGAGAAAAGAAUAUGAAGGAAGAGAAAUAUGAAGCAAAAAGGAACAAGAAGCAGAUGGGAAACAACCUGGUACUUUGAUAUGGAUACUAAUUUAGAGUAAAAACUUUUUGCUGCUCUGUGGAGCAGUCAGGCUGAGAAUCCUCUGCAGCCCUCUGGGAUUAAGGAAGAUGGCAUGAAAAAGAAGCUGCAGGAGGAACACCUGUGCAACUAGCAAGAGGAAAUAUUGUUUUGGGAACAGAAGAAUUAAUUGCUGGAUGUUGUGGCUGUGUGGAAAAUUAGGUCACCCUAAUUAUUCAUACCAUUUUAAGACCAGGUAACUAAUCACAAACCAGUAGUGUAAUAAGGUCAGAGAGUUUUAUGGGGCUGUUAGACAAGUCAUAGUCACCUGUACAAGUGGGAGAGGUCCCAGGAUGUGUGAGUUCAGCAAAGAGGAGCUCAGCAAGGUUUUUGCUGGUUAUCCUACCAUAUAAGCACUUCAUUUUGUGCAUUUUAUGAUUAAUCAUAAAAUCUCAUCCAGCUGACUUCCAAAGCCAACUGGAUCAGGUAGUCCUGUGUUCCUUAGACCACAAGCAGGGCCUCUCCCUGUCCCUCUCCAGUGGAAAUUCUCUAAGAGAUGUAUGAUAUAAAUCAUGCCAAGGUGCAUGCCAGGCUGAAUUUCUUGCUAGAAUUUUAGUAUUUCUCUGUGUUUGACUUGUUCCUUAUAAUGGCAAUUAUUUUGGUUAUGCAAAACCUCUGUCCUACUUUUUCUCCUUGCCAUGUAGAAGUUUGAACACUACUGUAUCUUACUGGAUUAUUUUCUCCUUUUUUUUUUUUUUUUUCCUUUUUCUUCUUUUUUUUUAAUGCUGUUUUGUCAGCCAGUCAAUUUUUUUUUACCUCCCUUUGAAGAAGCCACUCAAAAGGGCAGGAGUACAUGAGCUAACUUCAGGGAUUGUAAAGGAGAGGUAGUUUUAGAGUAAGGGGAACACAAAAUAGAACUAGUUUAUUUAUUGUAAAAAACUGUGGAGGUCCUUGUCUUUGAGGCAGGCUGAUGGCAUGUCUGCCACACUCAGACACUUCAAAGUGCAGAGACAUUCGACAGCACUUCAAGGAAUUUCCCCCUCUGCAAUUAAUGCUGCAGAAGAAACACUCAAAUACAUGCAGCACAGCAUUGCAGAAAAUCCAGGUGGGAUGUUUAACAAACCUUCCAGUUUUAUGAAGUAGGGGAAUUCCAUUAGGAGUGUGGACUAUUUGCUUUAACAUAAUCAUUCAUUGGGAUAAGAGAAGUAGAACUUGCUCUGUAGGUUUGUAAUUGUUGAAAUUAAUAAGUGUGGCUCAUCGCUCUCUGCAGUACUAUACCAAUUUACUGUGCUCUUUUAUCUCAAUUACUUUCUGUGAGUGUCUUAUAUUUCUCUAUUAAACUUAGGUAAUUGUAACACUAUGGUAAUAACAUUGGCAUACUGAGUAUUAUAUGAUGGACUAUUUUACUCUGACUGCCUUAUUUACAUUAUAAUUAUUAGUGUCUGUAUAAAUGUGAUUCAUUGAACUAAUAAAGUUUUCAGACAGCUGCCAGA